CCUACGGGUGGCAGCAGUGAGGAAUAUUGGUCAAUGGACGAGAGUCUGAACCAGCCAAGUAGCGUGAAGGAUGACUGCCCUAUGGGUUGUAAACUUCUUUUAUAUAGGAAUAAAAUGUUCCACGUGUGCCUUUUUGUAUGUACUAUAUGAAUAAGGAUCGGCUAACUCCGUGCCAGCAGCCGCGGUAAUACGGAGGAUCCGAGCGUUAUCCGGAUUUAUUGGGUUUAAAGGGAGCGUAGAUGGGUUGUUAAGUCAGUUGUGAAAGUUUGCGGCUCAACCGUAAAAUUGCAGUUGAUACUGGCAGUCUUGAGUACAGUAGGGGUAGGCGGAAUUCGUGGUGUAGCGGUGAAAUGCUUAGAUAUCACGAAGAACCCCGAUUGCGAAGGCAGCUUACUAAACUGUAACUGACAUUGAGGCUCGAAAGUGUGGGUAUCAAACAGGAUUAGAUACCCGAGUAGUC
rnacentral:rRNA from 1 species